GGAUUGCAGGCUGCAACUCGCCUGCAUGAAGCUGGAAUUGCUAGUAAUCGCGGAUCAGCAUGCCGCGGUGAAUACGUUCCCGGGCCUUGUACACACCGCCCGUCACACCAUGAGAGUCGGGAACACCCGAAGUCCGUAGUCUAACCGCAAGGAGGGCGCGGCCGAAGGUGGGUCCGGUAAUUGGGGUGAAGUCGUAACAAGGUAUC
rnacentral:rRNA from 1 species